rnacentral:tRNA from 1 species
GCGCGAGUGGCGGAAUGGCAGACGCGCUGGCUUCAGGUGCCAGUGCCCUAUACGGGCGUGGAGGUUCAACUCCUCUCUCGCGCACCA